rnacentral:rRNA from 1 species
UACAGAGGGUGCGAGCGUUAUCCGGAAUUACUGGGUUUAAAGGGUGCGUAGGCGGCGUAGUAAGUCAGGAGUGAAAGUUUGCGGCUCAACCGUAAAAUUGCUUUUGAUACUGCUAUGCUAGAAUUAGGAUGAGGUCAGCGGAAUGUGGCAUGUAGCGGUGAAAUGCAUAGAUAUGCCAUAGAACACCAAUUGCGAAGGCAGCUGGCUAGACCUGGAUUGACGCUGAGGCACGAAAGCGUGGGGAGCGAACAGG